AGAGUUUGAUCAUGGCUCAGGACGAACGCUGGCGGCGUGCUUAACACAUGCAAGUCGAACGAUGAAGCCCUUCGGGGUGGAUUAGUGGCGAACGGGUGAGUAACACGUGGGUAACCUGCCCUUGGCUUUGGGAUAAGCCCUGGAAACGGGGUCUAAUACCGGAUAUGACUGACUCUCGCAUGGGGGUUGGUGGAAAGUUCCGGCGGCCAGGGAUGGGCCCGCGGCCUAUCAGCUUGUUGGUGGGGUAACAGCCUACCAAGGCGACGACGGGUAGCCGGCCUGAGAGGGCGACCGGCCACACUGGGACUGAGACACGGCCCAGACUCCUACGGGAGGCAGCAGUGGGGAAUAUUGCACAAUGGGCGAAAGCCUGAUGCAGCGACGCCGCGUGAGGGAUGACGGCCUUCGGGUUGUAAACCUCUUUCGACAGGGACGAAGCGAAAGUGACGGUACUUGUAGAAGAAGCACCGGCUAACUACGUGCCAGCAGCCGCGGUAAUACGUAGGGUGCGAGCGUUGUCCGGAAUUAUUGGGCGUAAAGAGCUCGUAGGCGGUUUGUCGCGUCGACUGUGAAAACUGGGGGGCUUAACUCUCAGCUUGCAGUCGAUACGGGCAGACUUGAGUUCGGUAGGGGAGACUGGAAUUCCUGGUGUAGCGGUGAAAUGCGCAGAUAUCAGGAGGAACACCGGUGGCGAAGGCGGGUCUCUGGGCCGAUACUGACGCUGAGGAGCGAAAGCGUGGGGAGCGAACAGGAUUAGAUACCCUAGUAGUCC
rnacentral:rRNA from 1 species